UCACUAACAUUUCUUGAUAAUUGUAACGC
rnacentral:sRNA from 1 species